rnacentral:tRNA from 1 species
GGGGCCAUCGUCUAGCUUGGUCAAGGAUACCAUCUCACUUGAUUUGAUAUCAUUUCGUUGAGGUAUUAGCCUGGGGCGCUGGCGGUCGUGGGUUCAAAUCCCACUGGCCCCA